CCUACGGGUGGCAGCAGUGGGGAAUAUUGCUCAAUGGGGGAAACCCUGACGCAGCAACGCCGCGUGGAGGAUGAAGGUUUUCGGCUUGUAAAGCCCUAUUGUUAGAGAAGAAAAUGACGGUACCUAACCAAUAAGCCCCGGCUAACUACGUGCCAGCAGCCGCGGUAAUACGGAGGGUGCAAGCGUUAUACGGAUUUACUGGGCGUAAAGGGCGCGCAGGCGGGAAAGCAAGGCAGGUGUGAACGCCUGGGGCUUAACCCUGGAACUGCUUUUGGAACUGUUAGUCUGGAGUACGGGAGGGGUAGGUGGAAUUCCUGGUGUAGCGGGGAAAUGCGUAGAUAUCAGGAGGAAGACUGGUGGCGAAGGCGGCCUGCUAGAAUGUGACUGACGUUGAGGCCCGAAGGCGUGGGGAGCAAACAGGAUUAGAUACCCUUGUAGUC
rnacentral:rRNA from 1 species